rnacentral:rRNA from 1 species
AACAGAGGUGCCAAGCGUUAGGCGGAAUCACUGGGCUUAAAGCGUGUGUAGGCGGAUGCCUAAGUACCUUGUGAAAUCCCACGGCUCAACCGUGGAACUGCUGGGUAUACUGGGUGUCUUGGGCCAACUAGGGGUCGCUGGAACAAAUGGUGGAGCGGUGAAAUGCGUAGAUAUCAUUUGGAACGCCAAGGGCGAAAGCAAGCGACUGGGGUUGUGCCGACGCUGAGACACGAAAGCCAGGGGAGCGAACGGG